rnacentral:tRNA from 1 species
AGGGAUCUAGCUCAGCUGCACAAGCACCUGCCUGGCAAGCAGGAGGUCAUGAGUUUGAUCCCUG